AAACUGAAAGCAGUGCGGUGCAUGCAUGUGAGCUCUACUUCAGGAACCCCUGGGCCAUGUUAAACAGCCCACCCGCGCUCUCCUCUCCGCCGCCCCGCUUCUCCACCAGCUGCUCAGCGCCCUUGAUGACAUCGUUGAGACCGAACCCCUCCGACUUGCCUUCCUCCGCGGGAGGCGCAGGCGCUGGCUCCUUGGGCGCCUCUGCCGGCUCCGCAGGCUUGGGCGCGUCGCCUGCUGGGGCAGGGGCCGGGGCGUCGCCUGCAGGCUUCUCAGCGCCAGCGGUCGGCCGUGUGCCGAACUCCUUCAGGUACCCCUCGGCCUUCUCGAUGU
rnacentral:lncRNA from 1 species